AGCUCAGCUGACGGAGGUUGAUCCUGGCGGGGCAAUUUUGCGUCGGAAGCAGGUCUGACUGGUAUUGGCUCCUCGCGGCUACCGUAGGCUGGGCUCCCGUCCGCUUCAAGUGUGUUCAAUUGGGGAAUUAAGGAUAAAGGAGAGGCAGCUCCUGGGAGAAGGCUUUUUUUGUGGCAGUGGGAGAAGAGAGAGGAGACCCAGCUCCAAGCUUGCGUCCUUUCUGGCAAGUACAACGAAUUCAGCAUUACUCCAUGGAUCCUCGUGUCAAAAGACUAACUUCUGGAUCCUGAAACUUCAGACUUUGCUUCUCCUCACUACUUAGAUUUUUCCGAUGACAGUCGCAACUGAACACCUUGCCUUGGCCGUUUGACUCCUGGUCUGCACCUUUGUCUCACAACACUGAGUAAGUGGACCUAUUGGCAGGUAAGGAUGUUUCGAGAAAACAAGCUUUCACCAGGACAAUGGAAAACCCUAACAGUUCAUGAACUUGGUUUCAAAAUUCCUAAAUAAAUUCACUGAAAGUAUGUGCAAAUCAUAAAAAAAAAA